rnacentral:misc_RNA from 1 species
AACUUUCAGCAAUGGAUCACUUGGCUCUCGCAUCGAUGAAGAACGCAGCGAAAUGCGAUACGUAAGGUGAAUUGCAGAAUUCAGUGAAUCAUCGAAUCUUUGAACGCACCUUGCGCCCCUUGGAAUUCCGAGGGGCACACCCGUUUGAGUGUCGUGAACAUCCUUCAACCUUUCUUGGUUUCUUGACCGGGGAAGGCUUGGACUUUGGGGGUCUUUCAUCGCUGGCCUACUUGAAGCCAGCUCCUCCUAAAUGGAUUCGUGUGGUCUGCUUUGCCGAUCCUUGACGUGAUAAGAUGUUUCUACGUCUUGGGUUUCGCACUGUCGCUUUAGACCCCGCUUCUACCCGUCUUGCAUUCAAGAAAGCGUUUUAAACCUUGACCUCAAAUCGGGUGAGACUCCCCGCUGAACUUAAGCAUAUCAAUAAGCGGAGGCU